AGACAGUAAUACUUUAUACUGGAGUUUCAGAGCUGGAGCUGGGUUGAGAACAGGAGUAUCCAGGGCCUCUGUAUUCUUUCCAUUCUAGUAUUUUAUGAAGAAGCUAAAAAUUUGAUGUUUUUCCACUGGAUGAGAUAAAAAUAAAAGCCUCAGGGAACACAACUAGGAUCCUGGACUAGGAAAGAUUCUGCAACAUACUGCUGUAAGUGAAGCCUGGAGGCAAGAGCUGACAUCUCCAACCAAGCCAUAACCCUCUCCUCAAAGACGGAGCUCUGUCGCCCAGGCUGGGGUGCAUUGGUGCAAUCGAGGCUCACUGCAACCUCCACCUCCUGGGUUCAAGCAAUUCUCCUGCCUCAGCCUCCCGAGUAGCUGGGAUUACAGCUGGACUUUACUCAAAAUCUCACAGGGAGCCACCAGAACUGGCAGCAGGUAGGUGUUUUAGGCACUG
rnacentral:lncRNA from 13 species